rnacentral:rRNA from 1 species
UACGUAGGGACCGAGCGUUGUCCGGAUUCAUUGGGCGUAAAGAGCUCGUAGGCGGCUGUUCAAGUCGAACGUGAAAACUCGGAGCUCAACUCCGAGCCUGCGUUCGAUACUGGACGGCUAGAGUCUGGUAGGGGGAUCGUGGAAUUCCUGGUGUAGCGGUGGAAUGCGCAGAUAUCAGGAAGAACACCAACGGCGAAGGCAGCUCGCUAGGACGGUACUGACGCUGAGACGCGAAAGCGUGGGGAGCGAACAGG